GCCUGGCUGGCUCAGUCAGUAGAGCACAUGACUCUGGAUCUUGGGGUCAUGAGUUCAAGCCCCAUGUUGGGUC
rfam:Felis catus isolate Cinnamon breed Abyssinian chromosome C1, whole genome shotgun sequence.